rnacentral:rRNA from 1 species
AAUGAACGUUGGCGGCGUGGAUUAGGCAUGCAAGUCGCGCGACAAGGAACCUUCGGGUUCUGGAGGAGCGGCAAACGGGUGAGUAAUGUAUCGGAAUCUGCCCAGUAGCGGGGGACAACUCGGGGAAACUCGAGCUAAUACCGCAUACGCCCUACGGGGGAAAGGCUUCGGCCACUAUUGGAUGAGCCCGCGUCGGAUUAGCUUGUUGGUGGGGUAAUGGCCUACCAAGGCGACGAUCCGUAGCUGGUCUGAGAGGAUGAUCAGCCACACUGGGACUGAGACACGGCCCAGACUCCUACGGGAGGCAGCAGUGGGGAAUCUUGCGCAAUGGGCGAAAGCCUGACGCAGCAACGCCGCGUGCGGGAUGACGGCCUUCGUGGUUGUAAACCGCUUUCAGCAGGGACGAAAAUGACGGUACCUGCAGAAGAAGCCCCGGCUAACUACGUGCCAGGAGCCGCGGUAAUGUGACUACUG